rnacentral:tRNA from 1 species
GCGAUGUUAACUCAGUUGGUAGAGUCUCGGCCUUCCAAGCCGUUGGUCAAGGGUUCGAGUCCCUUACAUCGCUCCA